UACAGAGGGUGCAAGCGUUGUUCGGAAUUAUUGGGCGUAAAGGGAGUGUAGGCGGUUGCCUAAGUCUUCUGUGAAAGCUGCGGGCUUAGCCUGCAAAGUGCAGAGGAAACUGGGUAACUUGAGUGUCGGAGAGGAUAGGGGAAUACUCGGUGUAGAGGUGAAAUUCGUAGAGAUCGGGUGGAACACCAGUGGCGAAGGCGCCUGUCUGGCUGACAACUGACGCUGAGACUCGAAAGCGUGGGGAGCGAACAGG
rnacentral:rRNA from 1 species